rnacentral:rRNA from 1 species
AAAUGAAUAGACGGGAGCCCGCACAAGCGGUGGAUUAUGUGGUUUAAUUCGAAGCAACGCGCAGAACCUUACCUAGGUUUGACAUCCUCUGACAAUACUAGAGAUAGUACUUUUGUAGCAAUACAACAGAGAGACAGGUGCUGCAUGGCUGUCGUCAGCUCGUGUGGUGGCAUGUCGGGUUAAGUCCCUCAACGAGCGCAACCCCUGUGUUUAGUUGCCAGCAUUAAGUUGGGCACUCUAGACAGACUGCCGUGGUUAACACGGAGGAAGGCGGGGAUGACGUCAAGUCCUCAUGGCCCUUACACCUAGGGCGACACACGUAAUACAAUGGUUGAUACAGAGGGAAGCGAAACCGCGAGGUGGAGCAAAUCCCAAAAAGUCAAUCUCAGUUCGGAUUGGAGUCUGCAACUCGACUCCAUGAAGGCGGAAUCGCUAGUAAUCGCGGAUCAGCACGCCGCGGUGAAUACGUUCCCGGGCUUUGUACACACCGCCCGU